rnacentral:sRNA from 1 species
GAAGUCUCAACUAACCUGGAUCCUCAAGAUCUCUCAGUGAAUCACUAACCAGGCAGCAUACACUAGCUGAUAUGAUGACCUUGACACUUACAAGCAGAGGAACGCCUGAUCUGGCCUCAGUGAGAGAAGCUGCACUGAACCAACCAUGAAAAACUUCAGGCCCCAGGAAGUAGGGAGGUGUGGUGGGAUGGAGCAUUUAACAAGGUAACCUCAAGAUGAGAAGAACUGAAGAUUUCACGUUUACUAUUACGCACCUCUGAUGUCUGAGACCACAUAGCCAGAGUCUGCUCCUACAUCCCCUCUCCGUCUCACUCGAGAGUUUGGCCCUUCAGUUUACUUUGUGAUACUUUGCUGGAAACAUGGCUACUUAGAAGUAAAUUAUUUUAAUCUAGAGACACACGGACUCAACAUAUACCAUUUUUCUAUUUGUAAUAUUAUCUGACUCUGGAUUUUCUGAUAGUUAUCCUAUUACAGAUGUGUGAUGUCUAUUUUUUUUUUUUUGCUGCAAACAAAAGAGGCUCCAAAAUUACUAUGCUGAACUGAUGAAGUAUACAUGUUCAUUAUUUAAAUGACUAUUGAUAACUUUUCAAUAAAUGGAGAAACACUGUAGUUUCACUCUGUUUGGUUUUCUUGUUAU